GCUCACGUAGCUCAGCUGGUUAGAGCACCGUUCUUAUGAGGUUACCUGCUUGUUCUAGAGAGCGGCAUCCAAUGCGGGGGUCCUGAGUUCAAUUCUCAGCGUGAGUA